rnacentral:rRNA from 1 species
GUUAUUGGGUAUCAAAACCUAAUAGCGAAAUUAACAUAACUUUUAUGGGAUUAGUUUUUAGAUUAUUUAUAGUCUAUUAAUUCAAUCCCGGGGCGUUCUAUAUAGUUAUGUAUAAUAAUAUUUAUAUUAUUUAUACCUCUAACUAGAGCGUACCUUGAGCAUAUAUGCUGUGACCCGAAAGAUGGUGAACUAUACUUGAUCAGGUUGAAGUCAGGGGAAACCCUGAUGGAAGACCGAAACAGUUCUGACGUGCAAAUCGAUUGUCAGAAUUGAGUAUAGGGGCGAAAGACCAAUCGAACCAUCUAGUAGCUGGUUCCCUCCGAAGUUUCCCUCAGGAUAGCUGGUGCAUUUAAAUAUUAUGUAAAAUAAUCUUAUCUGGUAAAGCGAAUGAUUAGAGGCCUUAGGGUCGAAACGACCUUAACCUAUUCUCAAACUUUAAAUGGGUAAGAACCUCACCUUUCUUGGUAUGAAGGUUGUGGUUGUGAUAUAAUGUGCCCAGUGGGCCACUUUUGGUAAGCAGAACUGGCGCUGUGGGAUGAACCAAACGUAAUGUUACGGUGCCCAAAUUAACAACUCAUGCAGAUACCAUGAAAGGCGUUGGUUGCUUAAAACAGC